rnacentral:rRNA from 1 species
AUUGAACGCUGGCGGCAUGCCUUACACAUGCAAGUCGAACGGCAGCACGGGGCAACCUGGUGGCGAGUGGCGAACGGGUGAGUAAUGCAUCGGAACGUACCUUUCAGUGGGGGAUAACGUAGCGAAAGUUACGCUAAUACCGCAUAUUCUGUGAGCAGGAAAGCAGGGGAUCGCAAGACCUUGCGCUGAUUGAGCGGCCGAUGUCAGAUUAGCUAGUUGGUGAGGUAAAGGCUCACCAAGGCGACGAGCUGUAGCGGGUCUGAGAGGAUGAUCCGCCACACUGGAACUGAGACACGGUCCAGACUCCUACGGGAGGCAGCAGUGGGGAAUUUUGGACAAUGGGGGCAACCCUGAUCCAGCCAUGCCGCGUGAGUGAAGAAGGCCUUCGGGUUGUAAAGCUCUUUCGGCCGGGAAGAAAUCGCACGGGCUAAUACCCUGUGUGGAUGACGGUACCGGAAUAAGAAGCACCGGCUAACUACGUGCCAGCAGCCGCUGUAAGAC